rnacentral:rRNA from 2 species
GCUGAUGCGUUGUUGGGUAGGGGAGCGUUCUGUAAGCCUGCGAAGGUGACCUGUGAGGGUUGCUGGAGGUAUCAGAAGUGCGAAUGCUGACAUAAGUAACGAUAAAGCGGGUGAAAAGCCCGCUCGCCGGAAGACCAAGGGUUCCUGUCCAACGUUAAUCGGGGCAGGGUGAGUCGACCCCUAAGGCGAGGCCGAAAGGCGUAGUCGAUGGGAAACGGGUUAAUAUUCCCGUACUUGGUGUUACUGCGAAGGGGGGACGGAGAAGGCUAUGUUGGCCGGGCGACGGUUGUCCCGGUUUAAGCGUGUAGGUGUGUGUUCCAGGUAAAUCCGGUUCACUUUAACACUGAGGCGUGAUGACGAGGCACUACGGUGCUGAAGCAACAAAUGCCCUGCUUCCAGGAAAAGCCUCUAAGCAUCAGGUAACAUCAAAUCGUACCCCAAACCGACACAGGUGGUCAGGUAGAGAAUACCAAGGCGCUUGAGAGAACUCGGGUGAAGGAACUAGGCAAAAUGGUGCCGUAACUUCGGGAGAAGGCACGCUGACACGUAGGUGAAGUGAUUUACUCACGGAGCUGAAGUCAGUCGAAGAUACCAGCUGGCUGCAACUGUUUAUUAAAAACACAGCACUGUGCAAACACGAAAGUGGACGUAUACGGUGUGACGCCUGCCCGGUGCCGGAAGGUUAAUUGAUGGGGUCAGCGCAAGCGAAGCUCCUGAUCGAAGCCCCGGUAAACGGCGGCCGUAACUAUAACGGUCCUAAGGUAGCGAAAUUCCUUGUCGGGUAAGUUCCGACCUGCACGAAUGGCGUAAUGAUGGCCAGGCUGUCUCCACCCGAGACUCAGUGAAAUUGAACUCGCUGUGAAGAUGCAGUGUACCCGCGGCAAGACGGAAAGACCCCGUGAACCUUUACUAUAGCUUGACACUGAACAUUGAGCCUUGAUGUGUAGGAUAGGUGGGAGGCUUUGAAGUGUGGACGCCAGUCUGCAUGGAGCCGACCUUGAAAUACCACCCUUUAAUGUUUGAUGUUCUAACGUGGACCCGUAAUCCGGGUUGCGGACAGUGUCUGGUGGGUAGUUUGACUGGGGCGGUCUCCUCCUAAAGAGUAACGGAGGAGCACGAAGGUUGGCUAAUCCUGGUCGGACAUCAGGAGGUUAGUGCAAUGGCAUAAGCCAGCUUGACUGCGAGCGUGACGGCGCGAGCAGGUGCGAAAGCAGGUCAUAGUGAUCCGGUGGUUCUGAAUGGAAGGGCCAUCGCUCAACGGAUAAAAGGUACUCCGGGGAUAACAGGCUGAUACCGCCCAAGAGUUCAUAUCGACGGCGGUGUUUGGCACCUCGAUGUCGGCUCAUCACAUCCUGGGGCUGAAGUAGGUCCCAAGGGUAUGGCUGUUCGCCAUUUAAAGUGGUACGCGAGCUGGGUUUAGAACGUCGUGAGACAGUUCGGUCCCUAUCUGCCGUGGGCGCUGGAGAACUGAGGGGGGCUGCUCCUAGUACGAGAGGACCGGAGUGGACGCAUCACUGGUGUUCGGGUUGUCAUGCCAAUGGCACUGCCCGGUAGCUAAAUGCGGAAGAGAUAAGUGCUGAAAGCAUCUAAGCACGAAACUUGCCCCGAGAUGAGUUCUCCCUGAGACUUAGAGUCUCCUGAAGGAACGUUGAAGACGACGACGUUGAUAGGCCGGGUGUGUAAGCGCAGCGAUGCGUUGAGCUAACCGGUACUAAUGAACCGUGAGGCUUAACCUU